UAAAGACAAGUGAUCUACAGGUGUUAGACUCAGACAUUUACAUCACCUGUAACAUCAUCUCAUCUGCUCUCUAUCUUUCUUUGGACUCUCACUCUCAAACUGUGACAGGAUGAAGUUUGCUAUGAUAUUUCUUGUGUUGUCGCUGGUCGUCCUCAUGGCUGAACAAGGGGAGUGCAGAUUUAGAAGAGUGAUGUCUACGUGGAGAGGCCUCAAACAACGAUGGAGAGGCUACUCCCGAAACAAAUACAGAACGGCUCCAGGCAAUGAAGAAGGCGGCAAUGAACAGCCACAACAAUUUGCUCAAGCCCCUCCAGCUUAUGUGCGCUAAAGCCAUGAACGUUCUAACAAAGGAGCAGCUUAUCUGGACAGAAAACAUAGCUCCUUAGCUUAGUGCUCUGCAAUGCAAAGGACAUACAUAACAAAAAACAUUUCUAAUCUCAGGCUCCUGAAACACAACUAAUUGGUUUUCAAAAAUGUGCUUGAUGCUGCAAAUUGUCCUGAUGAA